UGGGGAAUAUUGGACAAUGGGCGCAAGCCUGAUCCAGCCAUGCCGCGUGAGUGAUGAAGGCCCUAGGGUUGUAAAGCUCUUUCACCGGUGAAGAUAAUGACGGUAACCGGAGAAGAAGCCCCGGCUAACUUCGUGCCAGCAGCCGCGGUAAUACGAAGGGGGCUAGCGUUGUUCGGAUUUACUGGGCGUAAAGCGCACGUAGGCGGACUUUUAAGUCAGGGGUGAAAUCCCGGGGCUCAACCCCGGAACUGCCUUUGAUACUGGAAGUCUUGGGUAUGGUAGAGGUGAGUGGAAUUCCGAGUGUAGAGGGGAAAUUCGUAGAUAUUCGGAGGAACACCAGUGGCGAAGGCGGCUCACUGGACCAUUACUGACGCUGAGGUGCGAAAGCGUGGGGAGCAAACAGG
rnacentral:rRNA from 1 species